rnacentral:rRNA from 1 species
GGGUCAGUAGGUUGGUCGUGCCACCGGUACGUACUGGUCUCACUGACUCCUCCUUCCUGAAGAACCGUAAUGCCAUUAAUUUGGUGUUGCGGGGAAACAGGACUGUUACUUUGAAAGAAUUAGAGUGUUUAAAGCAAGCUAACGCUUGAAUACAUUAGCAUGGAAUAAUGAAAUAGGACGAUCGAUCCUAUUUUGUUGGUUUCUAGGAUUGACGUA